rnacentral:rRNA from 1 species
UACGGGGGGAGCAAGCGUUGUUCGGAUUUACUGGGCGUAAAGGGCGCGUAGGCGGUCAGCACAAGUCAGUUGUGAAAUCUCCGGGCUUAACUCGGAAAGGUCAACUGAUACUGUGCGACUAGAGUGCGGAAGGGGCAACUGGAAUUCUUGGUGUAGCGGUGAAAUGCGUUGAUAUCAGGAGGAACACCCAUGGCGAAGGCAGCUAACUGGGCAUUAUCUGACGCUGAGGCGCGAAAGCGUGGGUAGCAAACAGG